GGCUCCAUAAUGUAGUGGUUAGCACAUCUGCUUUACAUGCAGCAGAUCCUGGGUUCGCGCCCAGGUGGAGCCA
rnacentral:tRNA from 1 species